GCUUCCCGUAGGCGACGGACACCGCCCGCUGGUCAUGGGCAUUCUCAAUAUCACCCCGGAUUCGUUUUCUGACGGGGGGCA
rnacentral:tRNA from 1 species